CCUACGGGUGGCAGCAGUGGGGAAUAUUGCACAAUGGGGGAAACCCUGAUGCAGCGACGCCGCGUGAGUGAAGAAGUAAUUCGUUACGUAAAGCUCUAUCAGCAGGGAAGAAAAUGACGGUACCUGAGUAAGAAGCCACGGCUAACUACGUGCCAGCAGCCGCGGUAAUACGUAGGGGGCAAGCGUUAUCCGGAUUUACUGGGUGGAAAGGGAGCGUAGACGGUGCGCCAAGUCUGGAGUGAAAUGCCGCGGCUUAACUUCGGAACUGCUUUGGAUACUGGCGAACUAGAGUGCGGUAGGGGUAAGCGGAAUUCCUAGUGUAGCGGUGAAAUGCGUAGAUAUUAGGAGGAACACCGGUGGCGAAGGCGGCUUACUGGACCGUAACUGACGUUGAGGCUCGAAAGCGUGGGGAGCAAACAGGAUUAGAUACCCUAGUAGUC
rnacentral:rRNA from 1 species